AAAGAUUAUAGCGCCAGCAAUCUGUAAUCUUUGGUUUGCCCUAAUAACUGGCAUUCGGAUAUUAGCAGAAACUUGAUCACAACUCACAGGACUUGUAUGAAUACCAGUAAGCCGCAGAAGCCCGUGCUCACAGGCCAGAGGUUUAAGACCAGGAAAAGGGAUGAAAAGGAGAAGUUUGAGCCAACAGUUUUUCGAGACACAAUUGUUACAGGCCUCAGUGAAGCAGGCGACGACCUGGAUGCUGUAGCCAAGUUUCUAGAUGUCACAGGGUCGCGACUGGACUACAGACGCUAUGCAGACACUCUCUUUGACAUCCUCAUCGCAGGAAGCAUGCUGGCUCCUGGAGGGACUCGUAUAGAUGACGGUGACAAGACCAAGGUGACUGCAUACUGCGUGUUCACCACUGAGGAAAGCCAUGCUGCUCUACGGCUAUAUGCUCAGGUUUUCAAUAAGCUCAUCAGGAGAUAUAAAUAUCUGGAGAAGGCCUUUGAGGAGGAAAUCAAAAAGCUGCUGCUGUUCCUGAAGGCCUUCAGUGAGUCGGAGCAAACCAAGCUAGCCAUGCUGACAGGCAUCCUGCUGGCCAACAGCACAUUACCACCUCCAAUCAUCACCAGCCUCUUCACUGACAGCGUGGUCAAAGAAGGGCUCUCUGCGUUGUUUGCUGUGAAGAUGUUCAAAGCAUGGAUCACAGAGAAAGAUGCCAAUUCAGUAACCUCGUCUUUGAGGAAGGCAAACCUGGAUAAAAGACUUCUGGAGCUGUUUCCUGCUAACAAGCAGAAUGUGGAGCAUUUCUCUAAGUACUUCACUGAAGCCGGGCUCAAGGAGCUGUCUGACUUCCUGCGUGUGCAGCAGAGUCUGGGAACCCGCAAAGAGCUGCAGAAAGAACUGCAGGAGCGCCUGUCCCAGCAGUGCUCCAUCAGAGAGAUGGUGGUGUAUGUGAAGGAGGAGAUGAAGAGGAACAAGCUACAGGAGCAGGCUGUGAUUGGCUUGUUGUGGAUGUGCCUGAUGAACGCUGUGGAGUGGAACAAGAAGGAGGAGCUGGUCACAGAGCAGGCGCUCAAACACCUCAAACACUACGCUCCUCUGCUGGCAGUGUUCAGCACUCAGGGUCAGUCUGAGCUGGUGUUGCUACUGAAGAUCCAGGAGUACUGCUACGACAACAUCCACUUCAUGAAGUCCUUCUCUAAGAUAGUGGUGCUCUUCUACAAAGCGGAUGUCCUGAGUGAGGAGGCCAUCCUGAAGUGGUACAAAGAUGGCCAUGCUGCCAAAGGGAAGAGUGUCUUCUUGGAACAGAUGAAGAAGUUUGUCGAGUGGCUCCAGAACGCUGAAGAAGGGACAGGUCUGAAACAUGCAGGGCCAGGAGUACUCCAGGAGAGCUUUGGGAGAGCCUUCAGAAAUCGGAGUCAGAGGGAGAGGAGGGCUAGAGGUAGAGCAGCAGGAGUUCCUGUAGUCUGCAUCCUGUGACCUGAAUGACAGUACAGCAGCUAACAUGUUUAAAGUCCAUCUGGGCUGAGGUGGAGGCAGUCCAACCACACCAACCACAAACCCACUCUCCUCCUAAGGCAGCCGAGCACCCGUCUGAGCACUGGGUCAGGAGUCAGUCCCACACAUGGAGAUGGCCUUCCAGACGUCCAACCACCUCAGCUCAGACUCCAUCUAUUACACUGUCCAGGAACAGUAACAUGACCUCUGCAGUGCCAAGCUCCACAUCACGCCGAGAGGAGGAAGGGAGGAGGAAGGGAGGAGGAAGGGGGGGCUCUGCUGCUCCACAUUUCUUUCUGGAAGAUUUUCAGAGGAAAUAACAGGUCUCUGUGGCCAAUCAGCGGCCUGGAU